GAUGAACGCUGGCGGCGUGCCUAAUACAUGCAAGUCGAGCGAACGGACGAGAAGCUUGCUUUUCUGAUGUUAGCGGCGGACGGGUGAGUAACACGUGGAUAACCUACCUAUAAGACUGGGAUAACUUCGGGAAACCGGAGCUAAUACCGGAUAAUAUUUUGAACCGCAUGGUUCAAAAGUGAAAGACGGUCUUGCUGUCACUUAUAGAUGGAUCCGGGCUGCAUUGGCUAGUUGGUAAGGUAACGGCUUACCAAGGCAACUAUGCAUAGCCGACCUAAGAGGGGGAUAGCCGACACGGGAAGGGAGACGCGGACCAGACUCCUACGGGAGGGAGCAGUAGCGAACGGGCCGCAAUGGGCGAAAGCCUGACGGAGCAGCGGCGAGCGAGUGAUGAAGGUCUUGGGAGCGUAAAACUCGGUUAUUAGGGAAGAACAUAUGUGUAAGUAACUGUGCACAGCGUGACGGUAACUAAUCAGAAAGCCACGGCUAACUACGUG
rnacentral:rRNA from 1 species